AAAGAUCAACACAAAAAGGCCCCGUUUACACGACAACGAUUUCGGUUGAAAACGGAAGAGUUUUGUUGCGUUUGUAGUGCGCAUUUACACGAAACCAACGAAUGUUUUCUCUGACAACGGCACAGAUUGAAAACGGGUUCCAGAGUGCGAUGUUUCUGAAACGUACCGUUUUCCGUUGUCGUGUAAACCGAGAAAACGGAUCUUUUCUUCCAGAGAAUCCCCAGCUCAUGCAUAGUAUGACGCAAAACAUAGCUGCUUCCUACAAUCCACAGAAGAAGAAACUACUCACAAUACUGGUGUUACUGUUUCCCCAUCAGAUACGGUUCCCUCAGCGUCUCUUCACCGCUCCGCACCGCCCAGGUGGCAAAA